rnacentral:rRNA from 1 species
CGGAGGAUGCGAGCGUUAUCCGGAUUUAUUGGGUUUAAAGGGUGCGUAGGUGGUGAUUUAAGUCAGCGGUGAAAGUUUGUGGCUCAACCAUAAAUUGCCGUUGAAACUGGGUUACUUGAGUGUGUUUGAGGUAGGCGGAAUGCGUGGUGUAGCGGUGAAAUGCAUAGAUAUCACGCAGAACUCCGAUUGCGAAGGCAGCUUACUAAACCAUAACUGACACUGAAGCACGAAAGCGUGGGGAUCAAACAGGAUU